UAAUAUUCUAUUAUCAAUUUAGGUCCGAUAGAUAUUAGGGUUUUUGAUCCAAAGAAAAAGAUAUUACGGUUUCCUAAUCUUCGUUAACACAGUAGCUUCACUCAAUCAUCGUGACUCUUGGGAUCUUGAAUCCUCCGACUAUCGCCCCUGUGACGUCUUAACGUCUCGGCUAGGAGAUACAUUUAUCCAAGCAUUAACGACAUCUCUACCAUUCCUCCCACUCUUCCUCAUUGGCCUUAUCAUCCACCAAAGUAAACGUUCAAAGCACCGACUAUAUAUAAAUGUGUUCAAAGACGUAUUUAAGCACGUCGUCGGCACAUAGCCGUCGUUUUCUUCUCUCUCCCCGACUUAAUCUUUGUUCUCACCGACAAAAGAUCGGUGGAAUCUCCUCUCUGUUGUUACUGUAGCUCGAUCCCAGGAAUCCUAAAUAUGACUAUCUGCUCAAGCUUUUGCUCAUUGGUUAUUCUGGUGUUGAUAAAUCUGCUUGCGUCUAAGGUUUUCUCUACAUCAGCACCAUUGGUGUUGACUUCAAAAUCCACACUGUCGAACAAGAUGGAAAAACUAUCAAACUCCAGAUUUGGGCCACAACAGGUCAAGAGCGUUUCAGAACGAUCACCAGCAUUUACUACAGAGGAGCUCAUCCGUGAUUAUGGUGUUGGCAAAUCAUGGUUGCUUCUAAGGUUUGCUGUAAGUUAUUGCACAUCUCUCUCUUUCUCUCUACUGGGACACUAUUACAUGUUCACCUAGAUAUUCGCACUGAUGGACACUGCAACGAAAUCCCAAACGUAUUUUCCCUAUUAAGCAACAACUCUAUCCUCUCUACGCUCAACUUCAGAAAAUAAUCAACAGCUGCAAACUGCCCCGGACCGCCACCCCUUCACUUUCGUGCUGAAACGUAAUGACCAUUCUCAUUCAGGACCACACAUCGACUGAACACCUUUCAAAUUCUCUAAGAAGGAGCCGUGUAUGAGCUCAGUGUUUCGAUGUGACAAAGGAUUAAUCAAAACUUCAGACUCUCAGACUCACCAGUUUCUAUCAGAUUCACCGAUAAAACUUAUUUUUAGAUUCAAAAACCAUCAACCCUAUUCCUACCGAGAUCUCCAGGUUCUGCACCUAUGACCAGCUGAUGUUACUGGGAUUGUUAGGUACUGUGUGCAGCUAUCAGUCUCAGAUGUCUUAGAGUCUACCGUGUUUGUCGCAUUCGAUGGUGAAAUGACGAAGCCGAUUAACGUCCAUGCUGCAGAGUAAUCAAAGCCUAGGUACAGCAGCAUGCUUACUUCAUCGACGAUUGCUUCAUAAGAAAAAGGCCCGACAAAGACAAGACGACCAAAAGACCACUCAUUAACAUUGGUAGAACGCGACAUAGACCAACGAUGAAGUUAAUGUUGCUGGAGAUUGCUGCAAAGCAAAUGAAUGAUUAGAAAGAUAAGCACACAUGAAAAGCUACCAAAUAUUGCAAGCAUUUUUUACAUGCGAUGAAAUAAAAGAUAAUAAUAUGGCCUUGGUUGUUUGAGUGUU